rnacentral:rRNA from 1 species
AUACGUAGGGGGCAAGCGUUAUCCGGAUUUACUGGGUGUAAAGGGAGCGUAGACGGAAGGCCAAGUCUGAUGUGAAUGCCCGCGGCUCAACUGCGGGACUGCAUUGGAAACUGGUCAUCUGGAGUGCAGGAGGGGUAAGCGGAAUUCCUAGUGUAGCGGUGAAAUGCGUAGAUAUUAGGAGGAACUCCGAUUGCGAAGGCAGUCCGCUGGGGCACGUCUGACGCUGAUGCUCGAAGGUGCGGGAAUCAAACAGGAUUAGAUACCCUGGUAGUCCGCACGGUAAACGAUGAUUACCCGCUGUCGGCGGUAGACAGUCGGCGGCCAAGCGAAAGCGAUAAGUAUUCCGCCUGGGGAGUACGGCCGCAAGGUUGAAACUCAAAUGAAUUGACGGGG